UGAACACCUUUGGUAGAUGGUC
rnacentral:piRNA from 1 species